UUAAAGUCUGACCUGCCCAGUGAUUAUAUUUAACGGCCGCAGUAUUUUAACUGUGCAAAGGUAGCAUAAUCAUUAGUUUUUUAAAUGAAAGCUAGAAUGAAUGGUUUGAUAAAAAAAAAGCUGUCUUAAAAUUAUUAUAUAAUUUUAUUUUUGAGUUAAAAAGCUUAAAUAUAAUAAAUAGACGAGAAGACCCUAUAGAGCUUAAAAUACAAAAAAUUAAUUAAUUAAAUUUUAAAUUAUAAUUAAUUUUAAAGUGUUUUUUAUUGGGGUGAUAUAAAAAUUUAAAUAACUUUUUAAUUUAAAUCCAUUAAUUAAUGAUUAAUUGAUCCUAUUAUUUAGAUUAUAAGAAAAAGUUACCUUAGGGAUAACAGCGUAAUUUUUUUUUGGAGUUCUUAUUUAAAGGAAAGAUUGCGACCUCGAUGUUGGAUUAAAAUUUAAUUUUGGUGUAGAAGCUAAAUAUUUAGGUCUGUUCGACCUUUAAAAUUUUACAUGAUCUGAGUUUAAACCGGUGUAAGCCAGGUUGGUUUCUAUCUUUUAUAAAUUAAAGUAUUUUAGUACGAAAGGACCAAAUACAUGAAUAAUAUUUUAUUAAAUGAAUAAAUUUAUUAUUUUGGCAGACUAGUGCGAUGGAUUUAGAAUCUUUAUAUGUAAAAUUUACAAAUAAUAUUGAUUUUAAAGGAUUAUUAUUUAGUUUUUAUUUCUUUAUUAAUUUUAAUUGUUGGAGUUUUAAUUG
rnacentral:rRNA from 1 species